rnacentral:rRNA from 1 species
CGUGUAGGCGGACCGGAAAGUCGGGCGUGAAAUCCCUGGGCUCAACCCAGGAACUGCACUCGAAACUUCCGGCCUUGAGUGGUGGAGAGGGUAGUGGAAUUCCUGGUGUAGAGGUGAAAUUCGUAGAUAUCAGGAGGAACACCGGUGGCGAAGGCGGCUACCUGGACACUAACUGACGCUGAGACGCGAAAGCGUGGGGAGCAAACAGGAUUAGAUACCCUGGUAGUCCACGCUGUAAACGAUGGGCACUAGGUGUCGCGGGUAUUGACCCCUGCGGUGCCGUAGCAAACGCGUUAAGUGCCCCGCCUGGGGAGUACGGCCGCAAGGCUAAA